rnacentral:rRNA from 1 species
GACGUAGGGGGCCAGCGUUGUUCGGAAUUACUGGGUGUAAAGGGUUCGUAGGCGGUGUGGCAAGUCGGGUGUGAAAUCUCUGGGCUCAACCCAGAGUCUGCUUCCGAAACUGCUGUGCUUGAGUGUGGGAGAGGCGCGUGGAAUUGCAGGUGUAGCGGUGAAAUGCGUAGAUAUCAAGAGGAACACCUGCGGCGAAGGCGGGUUGCUGGGCUGACACUGACGCUGAAGCGCGAAAGCCAGGGGAGCGAACGGG